rnacentral:rRNA from 1 species
AUUGAACGCUGGCGGCAGGCCUAACACAUGCCAGUCGAGCGGAUGAAGGGAGCUUGCUCCUGGAUUCAGCGGCGGACGGGUGAGUAAUGCCUAGGAAUCUGCCUGGUAGUGGGGGAUAACGUCCGGAAACGGGCGCUAAUACCGCAUACGUCCUGAGGGAGAAAGUGGGGGAUCUUCGGACCUCACGCUAUCAGAUGAGCCUAGGUCGGAUUAGCUAGUUGGUGGGGUAAAGGCCUGCCAAGGGGGGGAUCCGUAACUGGUCUGAGAGGAUGGUCAGUCACACUGGAACUGGAACACGGACCAGACUCCUACGGGAGGCAGCAGUGGGGAAUAUUGGACAAUGGGCGAAAACCUGGUCCAGCCAUGCCGAGUGUGUUAAGAAGGUCUUCGGAUUGUAAAGCACUUUAAGUUGGGAGGAAGGGCAGUAAGUUAAUACCUUGCUGUUUUGACGUUACCAACAGAAUAAGCACCGGCUAACUUCGUG